UCAAGUUCCCGCCUUGUACACCAGCUCCCAAGGGGGCUCCCGGCCCCGCCCGGUGCGAGGAGGCUCCCCAAGCCACCAGGUGGUGCUGCUGCUCCGCGAGUCUCCAGUCCAGCCCCGCCCCCGAGUCUGGCCACGCCCCCAGCUCUGUGAUCCAGCUCUGGCCCCGCCUUCACCACGCCCCUAGGCGCGGGAUCCCGCUGGUUGGCCGCUUGGGCCCGCAUAGAAACAGCCGUAGAUGUGGGUGAGUGCCCUGCGUGGCCCAGACCCGCGGCUGCCCGGGGCAGGGAGGGCCUGCCUCUGCGUCGCUCAACAUUCGGCCUCUGGACGACUUCCGACAGGGUGCCUGCGGUGCCCCUCUCAGUGAUCAGUCCCCGCGGUUUGGGACCGUCUGCACACACGAGUGUGGAUCCCGAACCUGCGUUGAGAACUAGUUGCGUUAUUAUGGCAACGGCUGGAUUAGAGAUCGAACAAACCACUUCCUCAUCCAGAACGUGGGCCCUCCUACCAACCACAGCGUGUAAGGUGCCUGGGGCGUUCAGCAGGCCACGGACUCUGUGCUCACGUCCCCCCCAUCCAGGGCUCUACCCCUGGGGGACCUGAGACAGCGUGCAAGCAGAGUUGGACACGGGGCCCAAUCCCAUGAUCCUGGGAUCAUGACCUGAGUUGGAAAACACAUUGGAUGCUAAAACGACCGAGCUGCCCUUAAGAUGAAAUUUGUGAAAGUUCAUCUUAGCCAGCAUUUUGGGAACUCAGUAGUGGGAGGUGCUUCAAAGCUGGUGGAAUCUGGGAGCCUCACAUGGGAGAGCAGCAGCCAAGGGCCUGGGGCUGAUCCCAGCACAUCUGCCCUCAGUGCUCACCAGAGGGCAGCGUGGAGUCGUGUGGAGCCCGGUCUCUGUUCCUGGCAAAGAUGAGGACCCCCUGAGCCCAGCCAUGAGCCGGCGCCCGACGCAGGAGCCCUCUGCACCCUGGCCAUGGAGCUGCUGACCCUGCCACCACCCCCCAGAGUGGAUGUAUCCGAGCCCCCCUGUCACGGAGAUGUGAACAUGGCUGCACACGCUCUUCCACUUGGUAGAGGUGAGCCUUCCCUCAGGGUGCCAGGACGGUGACCCGGUGGAUGCCAGCCAGGCCGCAGACUCAGAGCCUGGGAUUUGGGCCCAGCCUCCACUCCGGGGAUCAGAGGAGAAAGCGGGAGGGGCACAGGUCCUGGGGUGGACCCAGGUCCUCACUGUCAGCUUCUCGGGGAGGUGCCGGACCCUGUGGGGCCCAGAGGCAAAGCACACGGACCCCCUCAUCUCGGCCACUGCUUGGUUCAGGGCCGAAGCGGACCAGCCCACCCCCCUCAGAACCCCAAGCCUAUGUGCUCCCAGGGUGUCUCCCAAGCUGGCAGGGAGGGGCGGGCCCAGGGGACCCCAGUGCAGCACCCCCCAGCUACACACAGCGCCAGCCUCUCAGAAUACGAAAGAUAAUUUAUUGAAUCUAUAAUUUUCCAUUAAAAUCUUCAAACAUAAAAGCUCUGUAACAAACGUCA